AAGGGCGAAAAUUCAAGAAGACUUCAGAAAUUUACAUGCUGAAACUUCUUUACAUGCUGGAGUUGGAGCUGGAGCUGUGCGGAUGCAUCCUCAGGACACUACUGCCUGUAUCCCCACAGCUCCAGCUCCAGCAUAUCAAGAAGCCCUGUGCUCAUAGCCAAGACAAAGGAAAAAAGGCCUUGAAAAUGUUUCGCAGCUCCACUUGGCGGUUCUAAUUUCCUGUAUUAUUGUAAAUAAAAGGUUUCAUUGACUCAGGGUUCUGCAGGCUGUGAAGGAAGCCUAGUGUCUUCUGUUUUGGGGAGGAGCCAGGAAGCCUCCUCAUUAGACCAGAGGGCCAAGGGACAAUGAAUUAUCUCCUUUGGCAGGAGUAGGAGCAAGACAGAAUGGGGAAAGAAGUUCCACAGCCUUAUAAAUAAGCAGAUCUCAUGAGAACUCACUCACUAUCAGGACAGCAUCAAGGGGAUGGUGCUUUGUCAUUCGUGAAGGAUCUACCUGCACCCUUUCAUGACUAAAUCUACACUCAGGCCCCACUUCUAACAUUAGGGAAUAUAAUUCCACAUGAGUUUUGGUACGGACAUAGAGACAAAUUGUAUUUUUUCUGUCUCUGAUCCCACGAAUCUUAUGUCUUUCUCACAUUGCAAAAUACAUUCAUGCCUUGCCAGCAGCGGUCUUCCAAAGUCUUAACUCAGUCCAGCAUUAACUCAAAGUAACAAAGUCCAAAGUCUCAUCUGAGUCAAGGCUACAGUUUCUUUUGCCUAUGAGCCUCUGAAAUAAAAAGAAAGUUCACUGCUUCUAAUGUACAAUGAUGGUACAGGCAUGUGUAAGCUUUGCAUAUCCAAAAGGAAGACAUUUUUCAGAAUCUUUCUUAUUUUUAUCUGAGACCUCCUCAGCCUGGCCUUCACUGUUCAUGUUUCUGUCAGCAUUUUUUUGUCACAAUCAUUUAACCAGUCUCUAAGAUGUUGAGAACUUUCUCUUGUUUUC